rnacentral:rRNA from 1 species
CGGGUGCACUGAUCCGGCCGGGCCUUUCCCUCUGCGGAACCCCAUGGCCUUCACUGGCUGUGCGGGGGAAACAGGACUUUUACUGUGAAAAAAUUAGAGUGCUCCAGGCAGGCCUAUGCUCGAAUACAUUAGCAUGGAAUAAUAGAAUAGGACGCGUGGUUCUAUUUUGUUGGUUUCUAGGACCGCCGUAAUGAUUAAUAGGGACAGUCGGGGGCAUCAGUAUUCAAUUGUCAGAGGUGAAAUUCUUGGAUCUAUUGAAGACUAACUACUGCGAAAGCAUUUGCCAAGGAUGUUUUCAUUGAUAAGGAACGAAAGUUAGGGGAUCGAAGACGAUCAGAUACCGUCGUAGUCUUAACUAUAAACUAUGCCGACUAGGGAUCGGACGAUGUUAUUUCUUGACGCGUUCGGCACCUUUCGAGAAAUCAAAGUGCUUGGGCUCCAGGGGGAGUAUGGUCGCAAGGCUGAAACUUAAAGAAAUUGACGGAAGGGCACCACCAGGGGUGGAACCUGCGGCUUAAUUUGACUCAACACGGGGAAACUCACCAGGUCCAGACACAGUGAGGAUUGACAGAUUGAGAGCUCUUUCUUGAUUCUGUGGGUGGUGGUGCAUGGCCGUUCUUAGUUGGUGGAGUGAUUUGUCUGCUUAAUUGCGAUAACGAACGAGACCUUAACCUGCUAAAUAGCCCGUACUGCUCUGGCAGUUCGCCGGCUUCUUAGAGGGACUAUCGG